GACAGAGGGUGCUAGCGUUGUUCGGAAUUACUGGGCGUAAAGAGCGCGCAGGCGGUCGUCCAAGUCGCGUGUGAAAGCCCCCCGGCUCAACUGGGGAGGGUCACGCGAUACUGAUCGACUCGAAGGCAGGAGAGGGUAGUGGAAUUCCCGGUGUAGUGGUGAAAAUGCGUAGAUAUCGGGAGGAACACCAGUGGCGAAGGCGACUACCUGGCCUGUUCUUGACGCUGAGGCGCGAAAGCUAGGGGAGCAA
rnacentral:rRNA from 1 species